rnacentral:lncRNA from 1 species
GGAAGCUCUAUCACUGCUUUAGGUUCAUCUUUCAAAAGACAAUGUAUUUACAUAGCUAGAAAUUACACUUAAAAUCAGCUAAGAAUGACUGUUAACUCAGAAAAAUGUUUCAUGAGAUGGAGAAAUAACAAAAAGCUUACUGUUUUUGAAGUUGAUGAUUUUUUUCAUCCUUUCCUCCCAAUUUGCUAAGUUGGAAGGCAUCCUGAGAUGAGUUUUCGGCUUCAGAAACAACAGCUACAAAAAAGAAGAAAAUUCACCAAAUUUAGAGUAAAUUAACAUGGCAAAGUUAUAUGUUUCACAAAUAGGAAGAAGAUUCUGCAGGUAGAGAGCUGAAUCAUUUCUGAAGUGUAAGCUUCUGAGCAAACACAUAUAAAUGUUCAAGCGUAUAAAUUAGCAUAUAAGAGGGUUAUUCAUUCACGCCAAAUGAAUGUCCACUGCUCUGCUCUGGUUCACAUGUGGGCAGACUGGGCUGUCUGGAGAAUGCUCAGCCAUGAUUCCUUGUGGGCACUGGACACCUGUGGCAGGUACAUAGGAAAAAGCUCAUGCUCUCCCAAUCCCAGCAGUUAGGACAGCUGCCUAAAACCGGCCCACCUUGUCUUGGUGAUUCUUUGCCAGUUUGUCCAGGCAGAACCUUUUUCUUUUUGCCAAACAAACGACCAGUGGAGGACUUGAUGCUCUUCUUCUUUGGGGCUUUGUGGAGCGCAUCCUGCCUGCUGUCACUGGUACUGGGAUUGUUCACAGAACCUUUUUCUUUUUGCCAAACAAACGACCAGUGGAGGACUUGAUGCUCUUCUUCUUUGGGGCUUUGUGGAGCGCAUCCUGCCUGCUGUCACUGGUACUGGGAUUGUUCACAGGACCUUCCUGGGAGCCUGUUGAGCUUCAAAGAAAUAAAAUGGAUUUUUACCACCCUCUUCC